AUGCAAUGUUCAUUAGUAUGGUUUCUUGAUAAUGUUUUUGUAUAAAUAGGCAACCGGACCUAGGUUGGAUGAGAAGAUUGCAACAAAUACUUGGAAGGAAGCACCAGCACAAUCUACAUGCAAUAUAUGUCCUUCACCCAACUCUUGGACUAAAAUUGACUGUACUCGCGCUUCAGUUGCUUGUCGACAAUUUGGUUUGGAAGAAAGUGGUAUACGUUGAUAGAUUACUACAGCUCUUCAGAUA